AUUCCUACGGGAGGCAGCAGUAGGGAAUUUUCCACAAUGGACGAAAGUCUGAUGGAGCAACGCCGCGUGCAGGAUGAAGGCCCUCGGGUCGUAAACUGCUUUUUUCUGUGAUGAUUAUGACAGUAGCAGACGAAUAAGGAUCGGCUAACUCCGUGCCAGCAGCCGCGGUCAUACGGAGGAUCCAAGCGUUAUCCGGAUUUACUGGGCGUAAAGAGUUGCGUAGGCGGUUUACCAAGCAAGGCAUGAAAUAGUGUGGCUCAACCAUACUGCUAUGUUUUGAACUGGUAGACUAGAGGAUGAGAGAGGUUAUUGGAAUUCCAAGUGUAGGAGUGAAAUCCGUAGACAUUUGGAGGAACACCGAUGGCGUAGGCAGAUAACUGGCUCAUUCCUGACGCUAAGGCACGAAAGCGUGGGUAGCAAACAGGAUUAGAUACCCCGGUAGUCCACGCCGUAAACUAUGGAUGCUAGCUGUACACCGUAUCGACCCGGUGUGUAGCGAAGCUAACGCGUUAAGCAUCCCGCCCGUGGAGUACGAGCGCAAGCUUAAAACAUAAAGGAAUUGACGGGGACCCGCACAAGCGGUGGAGCGUGUUGUUUAAUUCGAUGGUAAGCGAAGAACCUUACCAAGGCUUGAAAUCCUGAGAAGCACUGCGAAAGCAGAGUGUGCCUUCGGGAACUCAGUGACAGGUGUUGCAUGGCCGUCGUCAGCUCGUGUCGUGAGAUGUUGGGUUAAGUCCCGCAACGAGCGCAACCCUCGUCAUCAGUUGCCACCAUUAAGUUGGGCACUCUGGUGAGACCGCUUGCCGAUAAGGCAGAGGAAGGUGGGGGUGACGUCAAGUCCUCAUGGCCCUUAUGCCCAGGGCUACACACGUGCUACAAUGGCCGGUACAAAGGGUUGCAAACUCGCGAGAGCCAGCUAAUCCCAAAAAACCGGCCUCAGUUCAGAUUGGAGUCUGCAACUCGACUCCAUGAAGUCGGAAUCGCUAGUAAUCCCUGAUCAGCAGGCAGGGGUGAAUACGUUCCCGGGCCUUGUACACACCGCC
rnacentral:rRNA from 1 species